rnacentral:lncRNA from 12 species
AUGGCCCACUGCCCAGCUCUGCCAUUUUGUGGUCUAGCCCAAGACACCGGGUUCUCGUUGGCUUUCAGGAUCCCUGAGAAGAUUCUGUGGCCAUGCAAGCAAUCACCAGUAUGGCAAGCUGGGCCGUACGCGUUGUCUCUGACACGCUGUCUGACUGCUGCAUCCGCUGGGUCCGGCCCUCCAGGGAGUUCCACAGGGUUUGCCCCUGAAUCCUCUACUCCCCAUGGCACACCCAAUGUCAGCAGAGGCAGAGGCCGGGGGGAGGCUGAUUCACUGACCCUGUUCCCCCCUGAGGCCGGGGUUCACAGCUCAGCAGCAUGGCAGUGCUCAGCAGGGAGGGCUCUGCUGCCAGGUGACCUACAUUCGCACGUCGGCUCCGCCCCAGCCAGGCCAACCUGGGAUGAGGCCCCGAACCCAUUGGAGACUCAGCUCUCUUUGACUGUGACAUCACCUGCUCAUGAGGAUGCUGUUCCCCCUUCUUGUAGAGCUUUUCUCACUUCCUGUAAGUCUUUCCUCAGCGGUGACCUCUCCAUGAGACCUUCCUCAGGCACAUGUCAUUAUCAACCACAUGACGUAUUUUUACGUAACCCGUUGUGCUCUUCUCUUCUAGAAUGUCAGCUCCAGGAGGGCAGGGAUUUCAGUCUCUCCUAUUUACUGCGGUAUCAGCAAUGCCUAAAACAGUGCUUGGUAUAUGGUGAAGACUCAACGUACCUGCCGCAAACGUGCAAUGCCUGGGUUCCAGGCCAGCGCUCCCACCAACUCCCAGAGCCUCUUGCGUGCAAGCCUUUCUCCGCCAUGAAAUGGGAUCCCUCCCAGCCCUGUCCUGUCUCUUUUAUGUUAUCAGAGCAUAUCAAAGUGGGAGUGAGCAUGGUUGGGAUGCCACCUUCUCAACAGCCUGCAGAUGGGAGGAUCCAGCUCCCAGCUCCCAGGAUGCUGUCUGCUGCCCAUCACCCAACGCACGUCCAGCCAGACAUGAAGUCUAUUCCAGGAACAAGCUUCUGCCCCGAAUCCCUGCAGUCUUUCCUGUUCUGCUGA